UACGUAGGGGGCAAGCGUUGUCCGGAAUCAUUGGGCGUAAAGCGCGUGUAGGCGGCCCGAUAAGUCCGCUGUGAAAGUCCAGGGCUCAACCCUGGAAUGCCGGUGGAUACUGUCCGGGCUCGAGUCCGGAAGAGGCGAGUGGAAUUCCUGGUGUAGCGGUGAAAUGCGCAGAUAUCAGGAGGAACACCGAUGGCGAAGGCAG
rnacentral:rRNA from 1 species